AUGGCAAUCAGCUUCAGUUGCUCGGCAUGUUCUCAGAAAAGUAGUGCUACAAAGCUGACAUGGUUCUUUGCGCUGCUUCUCAUCCUGGCCACGAUGAUUCAAGUCCGAGCGCAGCCCCCUACCGCUGGGUUCGUAAACAUCGAUUGUGGAUGGACAAACAGCAGUGCCUACAUCGACAACACCACCAGAAUAGUGUACCGUUUCGAUGGUGAAUCUGUCGAGGGCGGUUUGAGCCAUGAAAUUUCGGAGGAGUUCAUGGCUGGCGCAGCAAAUGAGCAACAAAAAACCUUGAGGAGCUUCCCUGACGGCCCAAGGAAUUGCUAUACACUGGCAUCCAUCAUUGGUAAGAAGUAUCUACUGAGGGCCUUGUUCACUUACGGCAAUUAUGACGGGUUGAACAAGACUAUGGACGGGUCACCAUUUCUGUUUGGGCUCCACAUCGGGGUCAAUUUCUGGGAGUCGGUGAACUUGACAAAUACGGAUCCAUCAGACACCGUGUGGAAGGAGGUGAUCACCGUUGCUCCGAGCAACGCCGUGUCCGUCUGCCUGAUAAACUUUGGUUCAGGGACUCCCUUCAUAUCUGCGUUGGAGCUGAGGCCACUAGAAGAUACGAUGUACCCUUUCGUCAAUACUUCUGUGUCAAUCAGCUACUUUCAACGGUUCAGAUUUGGCAACAUCACCGACCCUAUCACAAGAUAUCCAACGGACAAUUAUGACCGGUUCUGGCAGAGGUGGCCCGAUACAUCCUACCCCUGGAUCAACCUGAACACGAACAAUAAAGUGAAGAGCCUCGACAACGUCUUCAACGUGCCGUCGGACAUCUUCCAGAAGGCGUUGACCAUAGACACAAACUACUCCCACAUGAGCAUCAUCGUGGCAACGGGUCGCAAUCAAGAUGGCAAGAGCCUACAGCUUCUCCCAAUCUUUCACUUUGCCGAUAUCAACGAGAGGAACCUGAGCAGGAGGUUCAACAUCUACAACGCCGAAGAUUUAUUGUUCCCAGACUUCUCCCCGCUGCGAUUCCAGAUGGACAGCAAGUACAAGAGCGGGGAGUUCCUGCACGCCGAUGCAUUCUUCAACUUGAGCAAGACACCCAGCUCGAGUCUACCGCCGCUCAUCAACGCUUUGGAGGUGUACUCACUCGUCCGGAUGGAUAAUCUCACCACCGACUCCGCCGAUGACAAGUACAUAAAAGAAGUCAAGACACACUACAAUUUGGCACAAAGAAACUGGAAUGGAGAUCCAUGCUCCCCAAGAGAGUAUUCUUGGGAAGGUUUGACUUGCGACUACUCUAAGAGCAACCAGAAUCCAAGGAUUGUCACAGUAAAUCUGUCUACCAGCAGACUGAGGGGUGGAUUUGCCAUAUCAUUCAUGAACAUGACAUCGCUUGAAAACUUGGAUUUAUCACACAACAAUUUGACGGGAGCUAUUCCAGACUAUCAAUUGAAGUCACUUAAAUUUCUUGACUUGUCAAAUAACAAGCUAGAUGGACCAAUCUCUGACUCUAUUCUUCAAAGAUUUCAGGCCGGAUUGCUGGACUUAAGAUUAGAAGGCAAUCCUGUAUGCUCAAACGUAAAAGAUACGUACUGUUCAAAGAAGAAGAACACCACAUCUACCAUGCUUAUCGCAGUGAUAGUUCCUGUGGUACUGGUAUCCCUCCUAGUAGUGAUGGGCAUACUCUGGAAGUUAUACUGGAAAGGGAAGUCGGGAGAUGAUGAAGAUUCUAUGUAUGAAGAGGAAACUCCACUACAUAUUGAUAUCAGACGGUUCACAUACACAGAACUGAAGCACAUAACAAACGACUUCCAAUCAAUCAUUGGAAAAGGAGGUUUUGGUACUGUUUAUCAUGGCACACUGGAAAAUGACGAUGAAGUAGCUGUUAAGGUGCUUAUGGAGAAAUCAAUAGCAGAGUCAACAGACUUCCUCCCCGAGGUGCAAACCUUGUCGAAAGUUCAUCACAAGAAUCUCGUGACUUUGCAAGGAUAUUGCCAAAACAAGAAAUGCCUAGCACUCGUUUAUGAUUUCAUGCCCAGAGGAAAUCUUCAACAGCUUUUAAGAGGAGGUGACUAUAGUUUGAAUUGGGAACAACGACUCCAUAUUGCACUUGAUGCUGCACAAGGACUGGAGUAUCUACAUGAGUUAUGCACCCCGUCAAUCGUGCACAGAGAUGUCAAGACCCCCAACAUCCUUCUGGACAAGAAUCUGGUGGGAAUAAUAUCUGAUUUUGGGCUUUCGCGGGCUUUUAACGAUGCUCACACGCACAUAUCUACUGCUGCUGCUGCUGGCACUCCUGGGUACAUCGACCCCGAGUACCAUGCAUCUUACCAAAUCACUGUCAAGACAGACGUUUACAGCUUCGGCAUCGUGCUCUUGGAGAUCAUCACCGGACAACCCCCACUAUUAAUGGACCCUCAAACCGUCCACCUACCAAAUUGGGUGCGUCAAAAGAUAGCUAUGGGAAGCAUUCGUGAUGUUGUAGAUAAGAGACUGCUGGAUCAGUAUGAUGCCAGUUCCCUGCAGAGUGUGGUGGACCUUGCCAUGAACUGCGUGGAAAACGCAGCCAUCGACAGGCCAACCAUGACUGUGGUUGCCACGAGGCUCAAAGGGUUGUUGCCAGCGGUUUCAAGUGAAAAGCAGUCUGCUUCUGCGACCCCUCGACGUACCUACUCCAUGGAUAGUGAAAUUCCAAGGCAGUUCCAGCUGAUGAUUUCAGGAGCAAGCAACGAGGGGAGCUCCUUCCAGUCUGGCCAUACCAAUGGGAUGUCACAAAUGAGCCUCUUAUCUGGACGGUGA
rnacentral:rRNA from 1 species